UACGUAGGAGACGAGCGUUGUCCGGAAUUACUGGGCGUAAAGCGCGUGUAGGCGGAUGGGCAAGUCUGCUGUGAAAGCUCCUGGCUUUAACCGGGAGUGGUCGGUGGAAACUGCCAAUCUGGAGGACGGUAGAGGUAGGUAGAAUUCCCGGUGUAGUGGUGAAAUGCGUAGAGAUCGGGAGGAAUACCUGUGGCGAAGGCGGCCUACUGGGCCGGACCUGACGCUGAGACGCGAAGGCGUGGGGAGCGAACGGG
rnacentral:rRNA from 1 species